CUCACACUGGAACUGAGACACGGUCCAGACUCCUACGGGAGGCAGCAGUGGGGAAUAUUGCACAAUGGACGAAAGUCUGAUGCAGCAACGCCGCGUGGAGGAUGACACAUUUCGGUGCGUAAACUCCUUUUAUAUAGGAAGAUAAUGACGGUACUAUAUGAAUAAGCACCGGCUAACUCCGUGCCAGCAGCCGCGGUAAUACGGAGGGUGCAAGCGUUACUCGGAAUUACUGGGCGUAAAGAGCGUGUAGGCGGGUAAAUAAGUUGGAAGUGAAAUCCUACGGCUCAACCAUAGAACUGCUUCCAAAACUGUUAACCUAGAAUGUGGGAGAGGUAGAUGGAAUUUCCGGUGUAGGGGUAAAAUCCGUAGAUAUCAGAAGGAAUACCGAUUGCGAAGGCGAUCUACUGGAACACUAUUGACGCUGAGACGCGAAAGCGUGGGGAGCAAACAGGAUUAGAUACCCUGGUAGUCCACGCCCUAAACGAUGUACACUAGUUGUUGUGAGGCUAGACCUUGCAGUAAUGCAGUUAACACAUUAAGUGUACCGCCUGGGGAGUACGGUCGCAAGAUUAAAACUCAAAGGAAUAGACGGGGACCCGCACAAGCGGUGGAGCAUAUGGUUUAAUUCGACUAUACGCGAAGAACCUUACCUGGUCUUGACAUAGAAAGAACUUUCCAGAGAUGGAUUGGUGCCUGCUUGCAGGAGCUUUCAUACAGGUGCUGCACGGCUGUCGUCAGCUCGUGUCGUGAGAUGUUGGGUUAAGUCCCGCAACGAGCGCAACCCUCGUCGUUAGUUGCUAACAGUUCGGCUGAGAACUCUAACGAGACUGCCUACGCAAGUAGGAGGAAGGUGAGGACGACGUCAAGUCAUCAUGGCCCUUACGACCAGGGCUACACACGUGCUACAAUGGGGUAUACAAAGAGCAGCGAUACGGUGACGUGGAGCGAAUCUCAAAAAUGCCUCCCAGUUCGGAUAGUAGUCUGCAGCUCGACUACCUGAAGUUGGAAUCGCUAGUAAUCGUAGAUCAGCUAUGCUACGGUGAAUACGUUCCCGGGUCUUGUACUCACCGCCCGUCACACCAUGGGAGUUGAAUUCAUUCGAAGCGGGGAUGCUAAAAUAGCUACCUUCCACAGUGGAUUUAGCGACUGGGGUGAAGUCGGAACAAGGUAACCGUAGGAGAACCUGCGGUUG
rnacentral:rRNA from 1 species